CGACCUCAGAGCAGGCGAGAUUACCCGCUGAAUUUAAGCAUAUUACUAAGCGGAGGAAAAGAAACUAACAAGGAUUUCCUUAGUAGCGGCGAGCGAACAGGAAUGAGCCCAGCACUGAAUCCCGCGGUAUCGCCGCAGGGAAAUGUAGUGUUCAGGAGGAUCCGUUUAUCCCGUGACGUCGAACUGGGUCCAAGUCCAUCUUGAAUGGGGCCAUUUACCCAUAGAGGGUGCCAGGCCCGUAGCGACCAGUACGCGUUUCGGGAGGAUCUCUCCUUAGAGUCGGGUUGCUUGAGAGUGCAACCCUAAGUGGGUGGUAAACUCCAUCUAAGGCUAAAUAUGACCACGAGACCGAUAGCGAACAAGUACCGUGAGGGAAAGUUGAAAAGAACUUUGAAGAGAGAGUUCAAGAGUACGUGAAACCGUUCAGGGGUAAACCUGAGAAACCCAAAAGAUCGAAUGGGGAGAUUCAUCGGCGACGAAGCCGUCUUCCCGUUGGUGUGCGAUACCCCGAAUGGGCCUUCGUGGUUCCAAUACGUGGGUACGUCAUCUUUGGCGAACGAUCGGCGACGUAGUCGUGCACUUCUCCCUUAGUAGAACGUCGCGACCCGUUGUGUGUCGGUCUACGGCCUGGGCUAAUUGCCUGUCGCGGCACCUUCGUGUGCUCGCGGCAGAGGUUCGGUCGCCUGGCCGGCUGCACGACGGUACUCUGACGGUAUAGGGCCGCAACCAAUCCAUUUGAAAUGUAUGUGCGUCAGGCUCGUCGCAAGCUCGGACAGUUACCCGGAGUGUGCGGACCUAGUGCCCUCCCCGGGUCUGGCCAGCUGUUGGCAGACGAUGUCCUUGGACUGGCCAAGCUUUAAAUUACCGGUCAGCGACGCUACUGCUUUGGGUACUCUCAGGACCCGUCUUGAAACACGGACCAAGGAGUCUAACAUGUGCGCGAGUCAUUGGGAUAUGAAAACCUAAAGGCGCAAUGAAAGUAAAGGUCGUUCCUUAGCGUCGACCAAGGGAGGAUGGGCCAAAUACGUACUGGCCCCGCACUCCCGGGGCGUCUCGUUCUCAUUGCGAGAAGAGGCGCACCCAGAGCGUACACGUUGGGACCCGAAAGAUGGUGAACUAUGCCUGGUCAGGACGAAGUCAGGGGAAACCCUGAUGGAGGUCCGUAGCGAUUCUGACGUGCAAAUCGAUCGUCGGAACUGGGUAUAGGGGCGAAAGACUAAUCGAACCAUCUAGUAGCUGGUUCCCUCCGAAGUUUCCCUCAGGAUAGCUGGCACUCGCUCGUUCCUCCGUGAACGUGUGCGAGUUUCAUCUGGUAAAGCGAAUGAUUAGAGGCCUUGGGGCCGAAACGACCUCAACCUAUUCUCAAACUUUAAAUGGGUGAGAUCUCUGGCUUGCUUGGGUCAUGAAGCCAAGAGAUUUUGAAUCAGAGUGCCAAGUGGGCCAAUUUUGGUAAGCAGAACUGGCGCUGUGGGAUGAACCAAACGCAGAGUUAAGGCGCCUAAGUCGACGCUUAUGGGAUACCAUGAAAGGCGUUGGUUGCUUAAGACAGCAGGACGGUGGCCAUGGAAGUCGGAAUCCGCUAAGGAGUGUGUAACAACUCACCUGCCGAAGCAACUAGCCCUGAAAAUGGAUGGCGCUGAAGCGUCGCGCCUAUACUCCGCCGUCAGCGGCAAGUGGGGAGGGACGUUGUCACUCUCGGGUGGCCGUCCUCCAUGAAGCCCUGACGAGUAGGAGGGUCGCGGCGGUGUGCGCAGAAGGGUCUGGGCGUAAGCCUGCCUGGAGCCGCCGUCGGUGCAGAUCUUGGUGGUAGUAGCAAAUACUCCAGCGAGGCCCUGGAGGACUGACGUGGAGAAGGGUUUCGUGUGAACAGCCGUUGCACACGAGUCAGUCGAUCCUAAGCCCUAAGAGAAAUCCUAUGUAGAUGAGGUGUCCUAAAAUAAUAUACAUACAUACAUACAAUAAUGCAAACAUGAAAAAUUAAAGAAUUCACGGCAGAUAAUGAAAAUGUAAUGAAAGAUACACACCCAUCGGGCGAAAGGGAAUCCGGUUUCUAUUCCGGAACCCGGCAGCGGAACCGCUUACCAUUCGGGCCCUCGUAAGAGUGUUCGUCGGGGUAACCCAAAAUGACCUGGAGACGCCGUCGGGAGAUUCGGGAAGAGUUUUCUUUUCUGUAUAAGCGUUCGAGUUCCCUGGAAACCUCUAGCAGGGAGAUAGGGUUUGGAACGCGAAGAGCACCGCAGUUGCGGCGGUGUCCGGAUCUUCCCCUCGGACCUUGAAAAUCCAGGAGAGGGCCACGUGGAGGUGUCGCGCCGGUUCGUACCCAUAUCCGCAGCAGGUCUCCAAGGUAAAGAGCCUCUAGUCGAUAGAUUAAUGUAGGUAAGGGAAGUCGGCAAAUUGGAUCCGUAACUUCGGAAUAAGGAUUGGCUCUGAGGAGCGGGGCGUGUCGGGCUUGGUCGGGAAAUGGGUCUGGCUGACGUGCCGGGCCUGGGCGAGGUGAACGGUAGCGGUAAAACGUUUUCCGGGAUCCGAGCUCGGUCCCGUGCCUUGGCCUCCCGUGGAUCUUCCUUGCUGCGAGGCUUCUGUGGCGGUUUUCCGUCGCGGUCGUUCUCUUCGGCCGCCAUUCAACACUCAGCUCAGAACUGGCACGGACAAGGGGAAUCCGACUGUCUAAUUAAAACAAAGCAUUGCGAUGGCCCCCGAGGGUGUUGACGCAAUGUGAUUUCUGCCCAGUGCUCUGAAUGUCAACGUGAAGAAAUUCAAAAAAGCGCGGGUAAACGGCGGGAGUAACUAUGACUCUCUUAAGGAUGGACUCUCUUAUGGAGUCUUCGUCCGACCUUCGUCGUGUAUACAUCGUAGCGAGCGAGCUCCGGUGGAAGUAAACACGUCGAGUAGCGAAGGCAACUACGCAGCGCCCAACGGUUCCCGGGGCCCUGUGGUGGACUUUUCCACAUCUGGGGGGGAACCAAAUGUUGACGACCAUGGCGAUUCUACUGGACAUCGAGUGGACAAUGGAAGGGAUUUUCUAACGGACACCAGGAGCAAUAUCACAAUAAGUAUACCGUUAGAAAAUAUAACGUAUUGUCCCGUGUGCUCAUUGAAUAGUGGAAACGUGGGUUUCCUCGUUCUGCGUGAUUUAGUUAAACACUUAAAAGAACAACACGCGGAAACUCCCGUUUCCUGGCAAUGUCGUGUUUGUGGAAAGAUAUUCCCGGGUUCUCACAAUUGUAUCUGUCAUAUCCCAAAAUGCAAGGGUAGACAAGUUGUAGUUCAAAAUGCAUUUUGUUGUGAAAUUUGUUCGGAUUCUUUCACCUCCGCGAGGGGUUUGUCGAUGCAUGAACGACAUCGACACCCUGCAGUUAGAAAUAAUAAAAGAGCCAACGAUUGCGAGCGUCCCCGAAAUAAUUCGGGCCGUCGCAAUCGUGUUUGGACUAACGCAGAGAUAGAUUUGUUAAUUGAAUUGAAUGCGCUAUAUGAGGGUGAAAGAUAUCCGAACGUCCAAAUACAUAGACACAUUUCCACAAAAACGACAAAACAAAUUAGUGAUAAAAGAAGAGAAUUAAGAGCAGCUGGGCGUUUGAGUGUGAAUGCAUCAGUUUCUACACAUAAUAAUAGCGAAAUAAUUGACGACGUAGAAAAUACAAAUACUGAUGGGCAGGUUGACCCAGACGACAUUCGCACUCAAACGCCCAACAUUCCUACUACUAACGGAAUUACGGGACAAUACGUCGGGAUCUCGGGAUCGGUCGGUACUCACGCGAUCAGCCGCGACGACGCGUUACAUGAUUUGUCGCGAGCGUCGCGUGAGAAUAACGACAUUCGUGACGCGAUCGACGAAGAAUGGUACAACUCGGUUAAAUCAAUGGCUUCGUCGAUCGCACUUCCAAAUGAUCAUAAGUUUUCAGAUUUGAUAAAUGAACUCGACGCAAUUUUAAGCGUUUUAGAAGAAGAUCCCGAGAUCCCAAAUAAAAUCGAUAUAUUUAUAAGUAACUCCCUGAACCCAAAACUAUUGGGAGACGGGAAUGGGGGGCUUGGUGACAACCACCGUAACCGCAGAGCCACCCGGGCGAGCUCGCAAGCUCGCACGGGUAGGAGGAAAAAUAAUCAUAAUACGCGGGCACGCUACGGAUUUGCGAGAUGCCAGGAACUGUAUAAUAAAUGUCCAAAAAAGCUGGCGGACGUGGCGCUAAGCGGGGAUUUCUCUGCUGUUGAAAUGCGCAGAGAUCCUCCCGCGGCCCCCAUGAUCCGACAGUUAUACAAUGAAUUAUGGGGGACGACCGGGCCCGUUGUAGAUCAAAAUUUUAUCAAUGGAAAUAAUGCAGCGAACGAACCGGUCUCGAUGUCGGUGGCGUGCCCGCCCCUUACGGUUGAUGAGAUUCGGAAGCGAAUUAAUAAGAUUAAAAAUAAUACCGCGGGUGGUCCGGAUCUUAUCAGAAAAGCACACAUUAAACAGUCGGGAGUGUGCGAGGUGGUCACCAAGCUCUUCAACAUUCUACUGCUCUCGAGACAUUACCCCGUGUUUUGGAAAACAAAUAGAACCACUCUUAUCCCAAAGCCGGGAAAAGAUCAUAAUGAUGUUAAAAAUUGGAGACCAAUCACAAUUGGUCCACUUUUGGCAAGGGUGUUCUCGGGAGCAGUAGAUUUUAGAUUUAGAAAAUUUAUGGCACAAUCCGAGAGACAGAAAGGUUUCGUUGCCGAAGACGGCUGUAAAAAUAAUAUUAUGCUCUUGGAUCGGGCCAUAUCCCGGAUGAAGGGGGAGAGGGGUGGAGUUGUCACUAUAGUAGACAUAUCUAAAGCCUUUGACACGAUACCCCACUCCGCCCUAGAACCCUGUUUAAAAAGAAAGCGCUCACCACAGAUGUUAGCAACUUUUGUCAAAAACAUGUAUAAGGAAUGCAAAACUGUGGUGAGCGCCCAGGGUGGUGACGGGGUCGACGUCGUAUUAAAAAGAGGAGUUAAGCAGGGGGACCCUCUGUCCCCUUUGCUUUUUAAUGUAGUCGUCGAGCCCGUAAUCGAGCAUAUAAACAAUAUGACAUCCGGGAUUAAAGUUACGGAUACUAACCUCUCGGUUCUAGCCUUUGCAGAUGACAUGGUCCUAUUAGCGGCAGAUAAAAAUGAAGCCAUGAAGCAGGUGGAUAUCCUGAGCAGAUAUCUGGAGGGUCUGGGCAUGAGCCUAUCAAUAGGCAAGUGCUCGACCUUCGAAAUCGUUAAUAAACAGAAAACAUGGUUUAUUAGGGACCCGUGUCUGGAAGUAAAAGGCGAAAGACUGCCUAUUGUUAACCCAGAGGAAAUAAUUACAUAUCUAGGUGCAGGGCUGGACCCGUGGGGGGGGUUGAAAAGAGGCGAGAAAAUCCCAGCCAUUAUGUUGGCAAUAAAAAAUGUCAGGCGGAUGAAACUAAAACCUUACCAGAAAAUUCACUUAAUACAACAAUACGUUUUGCCUCAUUUCUUGCAUGGUCUGAUCUCGUGUCCUCCCCAUGGGACGACACUUGUGAGAUUAGACCAGGCAAUUAGACAAGAAAUAAAGCAAAUUCUCCACCUGACAUUAUCGACCACUGAUGGCUUAAUAUAUACUGCCAAAUCGCAUGGUGGUCUGGGGUUUCCUCGCCUCGAAUAUACCGUGAAGUUGGCCGUACUUAAGCAUGCUAUAAGGGCAGGGGAAGCGGCGGACCCUGCCCUUAGAGAAAUGAUGAAAGAUGACACGCUGCAAAAGCGGCUUAAAAUGUACGCCAACUCACUUAGAAUAAAUUGGCCGGCCACCCUCCCUGAGAUCGAGUCAGCGCGAAAAAGGUUACGAAAAUGUGAAACGGAUAAAUGGCAAGAACUCGUAUCUCAGGGACAGGGGGUGGCCGACUUCCGCCGCGAUAGAAUAGGAAAUGCAUGGCUUGGAGCCCCAUGGCUCCUGAAAUCAUCGCGAUUCAUCGACGCCCUCAAGCUCAGAACUAACACAUUCGGUAAUCGAGUAACUCUAAAAAGAGCAAAUGAGGGCGUCGAUAUUACGUGCAGGAGGUGUCGCGCCCGGCCCGAAACACUCGGGCACAUUAUUGGCGGGUGUAUACACAUCAAGCCCAUGCGUAUAAAACGCCAUGAUGAAAUUAAAGAUCUAAUCGCGAAUAAAGUGGGCUCGAGGUGUACCGUGUUUCCAGAACCAACCGUAAACGUUUUGGGGGAGCUCCUAAAGCCGGACCUGGUAAUUAAAGACCAGGAAAAGCUCCUCGUGGUCGACGUUACAGUCCGCUACGAGGAUCGAGCAAACCUAAAACGCGCGUUUAAAGAAAAGAUCGAUAAAUAUACGGUCGCCGCGCAAUUCAUUAAACAAAGAUUAAAAUGCGCGGAAGCUAAAGUCCUGCCAAUAGUGGUUGGGGCCAGGGGCGCGAUGCCUCCAGAGACACUAAAAAACCUCCGGGAGCUGGGGCUCCCCAAAAGCGACUCAUUGACGAUCUCAAUGAUUGCAUUGAGAUCGUCAAUCGAGAUAGCAAACGCUUUCAUCGACUAUGAUAAUAUCGACUAACCCUAUGGGGGAUAUACCAACAACAUAUGCGUAUACCUUUUAUUACGCAUAGUCUUUUUGCUCGCGUGUUUACCGAUAAGUAUUCACGUGACAACCGAGGUUAAAAAUAAUACCUUAACCAAAUGACUGUCGAUGAAAGCGAUUGCUUAGUUAGCCCACUACAAGAACAGUGGUGCGAGUCGUAAGGCAAUUCGAACUCGUUCGAAUGUGCUACGGCGGCAGAGCGGGCUCAGUAUGCAUGAACUGAGCCCGGGCGGAUGCCUCCACGUGGCAUUCCCUGGGAACACUCUCCAAAAGAGAUGUGGCUAAAUCCGCUUUCCCUUCGAGGGGACUCUGUUCUAUCUAAUUUUUCCAGGCCUGUUUGGGCAGUCCUUAGUGGACUGUAUCAGAAUAUACAGGGGCGGGUUUCGCUAGAAAGUAGACCCCUACCCCGAAAUCGCGAUAUUUAGUCGUCGGUUCGUUGUUAGUUGUUGUUGUUAAGUUUGAAGCCCUACGGGGGGGAUAUACCCCGAAAGUUCACCCUCUUGCAUUAUAUGCAAGACGGUGCAGUAUUUAGCCAAAUGCCUCGUCAUCUAAUUAGUGACGCGCAUGAAUGGAUUAACGAGAUUCCCAUCUGUCCCUAUCUACUUUCUAGCGAAACCACUGCCAAGGGAACGGGCUUGGAAAAAUUAGCGGGGAAAGAAGACCCUGUUGAGCUUGACUCUAGUCUGGCAUUGUAAGGAGACAUGAGAGGUGUAGCAUAAGUGGGAGAUGGCAACAUCGCCGGUGAAAUACCACUACUUUCAUCGUUUCUUUACUUACUCGGUUAGGCGGAGCGCGUGCACCGACGUCUUUGACGCGGUUGUCACGGAAUUCUAGAACCAAGCGUGUAAGAGUGGUGUGAGGACAUCGCGUCCGAUCGCCAGUAAUACUCCCGCGUGAUCCGAUUCGAGGACACUGCCAGGCGGGGAGUUUGACUGGGGCGGUACAUCUGUCAAAGAAUAACGCAGGUGUCCUAAGGCCAGCUCAGCGAGGACAGAAACCUCGCGUAGAGCAAAAGGGCAAAAGCUGGCUUGAUCUCGAUGUUCAGUACGCAUAGAGACUGCGAAAGCACGGCCUAUCGAUCCUUUUGGCUUGAAGAGUUUUCAGCAAGAGGUGUCAGAAAAGUUACCACAGGGGUAACUGGCUUGUGGCGGCCAAGCGUUCAUAGCGACGUCGCUUUUUGAUCCUUCGAUGUCGGCUCUUCCUAUCAUUGCGAAGCAGAAUUCGCCAAGCGUCGGAUUGUUCACCCGCCAACAGGGAACGUGAGCUGGGUUUAGACCGUCGUGAGACAGGUUAGUUUUACCCUACUGAUGACUAGUCGUUGCGAUAGUAAUCCUGCUCAGUACGAGAGGAACCGCAGGUUCGGACAUUUGGUUCACGCACUCGGUCGAGCGGCCGGUGGUGCGAAGCUACCAUCCGUGGGAUUAUGCCUGAACGCCUCUAAGGCCGUAUCCUUUCUAGUCAAAGGUGGCAACGAUAUUUCUAGGAUUCUCGUGUGGGUCGAAAGGCUCAAAACAAUGUGAUACUACUAGGUGCUCGGUCCUCGUGGCCGGGCAUCGCACGGGCCCCAUUUUGCCUUAUGCGCGUCUUCGUAUUUGUCGAGUCGGGAUCUCGCCGACGACAAACGUGGCGUUCGAAGGGUAGAUCAUGGGUACUCCAAGUUCGACGUCGUGAAUCGGAAUCGUCUGUAGACGACUUAGGUACCUGGCGGGGUGUUGUACUCGGUAGAGCAGUUACCACGCUGCGAUCUGUUGAGACUCAGCCCUAUGCUUGGGGAUUCGU